UGAGGCAGGAGAAUUGCUUGAAGCUGGGAGGCGGAGCUUGCAGUGAGCUGAGAUGGCACCACUGCACUCCAGCCUGGGCGACAGAGACUCCAUCUCAAAAAAAAAAAAA
rnacentral:miRNA from 1 species